rnacentral:rRNA from 1 species
UACGGAGGGUGCAAGCGUUAUUCGGAUUCACUGGGCGUAAAGGGUGCGCAGGCGGCCGGGUGUGUCAGAUGUGAAAUCCCGAGGCUUAACCUCGGAACUGCGUCUGAAACUACUCGGCUAGAGUACUGGAGAGGGAAACGGAAUUCACGGUGUAGCAGUGAAAUGCGUAGAUAUCGUGAGGAACACCAGAGGCGAAGGCGGUUUCCUGGACAGUUACUGACGCUCAGGCACGAAAGCAUGGGGAGCAAAA